CCUACGGGUGGCUGCAGUGGGGAAUAUUGGACAAUGGGGGCAACCCUGAUCCAGCCAUGCCACGUGUGUGAAGAAGGCCCUCGGGUUGUAAAGCACUUUCAGUGAGGAAGAACGCCUGGUGGUUAAUACCCAUCAGGAAAGACAUCACUCACAGAAGAAGCACCGGCUAACUCCGUGCCAGCAGCCGCGGUAAUACGGAGGGUGCGAGCGUUAAUCGGAAUUACUGGGCGUAAAGCGCGCGUAGGUGGCUUGAUAAGCCGGUUGUGAAAGCCCCGGGCUCAACCUGGGAACGGCAUCCGGAACUGUCAAGCUAGAGUGCAGGAGAGGAAGGUAGAAUUCCCGGUGUAGCGGUGAAAUGCGUAGAGAUCGGGAGGAAUACCAGUGGCGAAGGCGGCCUUCUGGACUGACACUGACACUGAGGUGCGAAAGCGUGGGUAGCAAACAGGAUUAGAUACCCUAGUAGUC
rnacentral:rRNA from 1 species